CAGUCGCCGCGGGAAUACGUAGGUGGCAAGCGUUGUCCGGAAUUAUUGGGCGUAAAGGGCUCGCAGGCGGUUUCUUAAGUCUGAUGUGAAAGCCCCCGGCUCAACCGGGGAGGGUCAUUGGAAACUGGGAAACUUGAGUGCAGAAGAGGAGGGUGGAAUUCCACGUGUAGCGGUGAAAUGCGUAGAGAUGUGGAGGAACACCAGUGGCGAAGGCGACUCUCUGGUCUGUAACUGACGCUGAGGAGCGAAAGCGUGGGGAGCGAACAGGAUUAGAUACCCCCGUAGUCCCUGUCUCUUAUAC
rnacentral:rRNA from 1 species